UGGCAAAAAUUAUCAAGGUUUUAUAUACAUUGAGGAAUUGUAAUUACAUUGUGUGACACUUUCUAGGAAACUCACAUCAUGGACUCAUACAAUUGAGUUAUCUUUUCCUAAUGCAAUCAUGAGAUUAAGAGAUAAAGAAAGACAAAAAAUUGAAGAGUGUAGUAGAAGGCACCCAACAUGAAAAGCUAGUGAAGGAAAGAACAUAGAUGUUGACUAAUUUCUAAGGCUCAUUAUGGAUACACCAUUUAUACAUUAUAUGAGCAUGUGCCAGCAGGCUGAGAAUGUGAUAUUAGAU
rnacentral:lncRNA from 1 species